GGGGGUAAAGCUCAAUGGUAAAGUGCUUACCUGGUGUGCAUGAGGCCCUGGGUUCGACUCCCAGCACCGCAA
rnacentral:tRNA from 1 species